rnacentral:misc_RNA from 1 species
GAUGAAGAACGUAGCGAAAUGCGAUAAGUAGUGUGAAUUGCAGAAUUCAGUGAAUCAUCGAAUCUUUGAACGCACAUUGCGCCCUUUGGUAUUCCUUAGGGCAUGCCUGUUCGAGCGUCAUUUAAACCUUCAAGCUAAGCUUGGUGUUGGGUGACUGUCCGCUUCACGGCGGACUCGCCUCAAAAUUAUUGGCGGCCGGUACAUUGGCUUCGAGCGCAGCAGAAACGCGAACUCGGGCCCGUCGUAUUGGCUCCCAGAAGCUAACUUCACAAUUUUGACCUCGGAUCAGGUAGGGAUACCCGCUGAACUUAAGCAUAUCAAUAAGCGGAGGA